AUUGAACGCUGGCGGCAUGCCUUACACAUGCAAGUCGAACGGCAGCACGGGAGCAAUCCUGGUGGCGAGUGGCGAACGGGUGAGUAAAGUAUCGGAACGUGCCCAGUCGUGGGGGAUAACGUAGCGAAAGUUACGCUAAUACCGCAUACGAUCUAUGGAUGAAAGCGGGGGAUCGCAAGACCUCGCGCGAUUGGAGCGGCCGAUAUCAGAUUAGGUAGUUGGUGGGGUAAAGGCUCACCAAGCCGACGAUCUGUAGCUGGUCUGAGAGGACGACGAGACAAACUGGGGGUGAGACACGACCCAGACUCCGACGGGAAGCAGCAGUGGGGAAUGUUGGACAAUGGGCGAAAGCCUGAUCCAGCCAUGCCGCGUGCAGGAUGAAGGCCUUCGGGUUGUAAACUGCUUUUGUACGGAACGAAAAGGUUUGGGCUAAUAAGCUGAGCUCAUGACGGUACCGUAAGAAUAAGCACCGGCUAACUACGUGCCAGCCGCCGCCGUAA
rnacentral:rRNA from 1 species